GAGAAUGAGAAAUCACCAUAUUUCUCAAUGUUAUAUUUCACUUCGACCCUGAAACCAUCUCUGUUUUUUUUUUUUUUUUUGGCAUAAUCCGUAUCAGAAUCCUAAAUGCCAAAAAAAUUAAAAAUAAAUAAAUAAAAAACACCCCACUGAAAUAUUAAGGUUGUCACUUUAAAUGUCAGUAAGAUGGUUUCUUCCUGUAUAAAUUGGCAGUUUUUGGCCGUAACUUGGGAUGUAGACUAGAACUUUUGCUGUUAAGUCACGUAGUCUGGCUACAGGAGUCUAUGGUAUCUGGAUAACAUUGUUGUCAUUGACCUUCUUGAAGUUCUGGACACCCGUGGGGCUUUUGCAAUUGCCAGUGGACCAUAAUCACAUUUUUUUUUUUUUAACUCGGUUGGAUUCAGUUUCAUCUCUCAACAGGGUUUUGGUGGUCUCCAGGAAGAGGGGGACGGAAAGGUUCACUUACAGGCUAUGAAUGACUCCAAUCAAAUGACUACUCUGCUAUGGCCUUCUCUCAGUAACAGACAACAUACUCAAAAGAGACCCAGUUUUUGCUGUCAAAGCCUUUAUUCUGGGUAUGAUCGAGACGGUGGUUUGAAUAUGGCUGAUGGCCUCAAAUAUCACCCAGUCUGCUAGAGAGAAAGAGAGAGUGAGAACGAUAGCGUAACUCCAUGUGAGACAGAGGGGGAGGUGAACACAAGGAGGACCUGAAAAGGGGCUGUACAAACUAGCCAUAACAUACACACCGAAGCACUUGGAAGUACAGGAAGCAGCAGUUGAGAGGAAGAUCACUGACUCAUCGUACCCUGGCAGCAGUGGAGGUUCAUCCAGUGGCCUUUCAUUUCAACCACACAACUAGAGGUUAAACAUUAAGCCCUGUCU